rnacentral:rRNA from 1 species
CAUUGCGGCUCGGGAUCCUGAUCUCGGGCCACACCUGACUGAGGGUCGGUGAUAUCAUAAGAGCAAAUUGUAUUGGGCGACGUCCGACUUGAAUUGUCGAACGCGCACCAAAUUCAAAAGAAAGACUCGGAGAAGGCCGCCGCCUCUCUCCCUGACGGGAGAGUGGAGACUUGUACGGUCGUCGUGAGUACGUGUCUUUGUGUUUUUUCAUACGGACCAACGAGAAAAGCUCGCAAGGUAGUUGUCGGUGGAGUAAACGGAACCCUUCUUAAACCGGAGGCGCCCGCGAAAGAUCGACUCUGCGAAUUGCGGAUUGCCGCUCGCCGAUAAAAAAACAAGACACCGGAAAGCGCGCAUCGUCUCGUCGUUCGGCACACGACUCCGUUCGUCUAUACAUGAUACACACACACAUGAAUUGAUCGCGACCUCAGAUCAGGUGAGACUACCCGCUAAAUUUAAGCAUAUUAAUAAGCGGAGGAAAAGAAACUAACAAGGAUUCCCUGAGUAACGGCGAGCGAAAAGGGAAAAGCCCAGCACCGAAUCUCGUACCGUG